UAACGCACACCAACGUACACGUGCAGGCUGAUUAAUUGGGUAGGCAAGCCAUAUGUUGGAAUGGGUGGUGCUUUUU
rnacentral:rRNA from 1 species